AACGAACGCUGGCGGCAUGCCUAAUACAUGCAAGUCGAACGAGACCUUCGGGUAUUGUUGCGCACGGGUUCGGAACGCGAGGGAACAUUCCCUUAGGGUCGGACUAACUCCCCGAAGGGGGCGCUAAUACCGGAUAAUUUCUUCUAACCAAUGAUUUAUUGCCUCGGGAGGGGCCCGCGUGGAAUAAACUGUUGCGUAGGGUAAACGCCUACCAAGGCGACGAUCCAUAGCUGGUCUGGGAGCAUGGUCAGCAACCCUGGGGGUGAGACCCGGCCCAGACUCCUGCGGAAGGCCGCAAUGGGGAACAUUGGACGCUGGGCGAGAGCAUGAUGCUGCAGUGCCGCGUGAGUGAUGAAGGCGUUAGGGUUGUAGAGCUCUGUUAACCGGGCUGAUAAUGACAGUACCGGGAGAAUAAGCGCCGGCUAACUACGUG
rnacentral:rRNA from 1 species